GAAUAGCUCAGUUGGUAGAGUCCCGGAUUGUGAUUCCGGUUGUCGUGGGUUCGAGUCCCAUCUC
rnacentral:tRNA from 1 species